rnacentral:lncRNA from 1 species
GUGUACUGUGCGGGACUGAAGUGAAAACUGUGGAUCACCUGUUCACACGGUGCGUAUUCAUCAAAUUCCUUCUUGUGACGGGUGUGGAGGGUAUUCAGGCUACGGAUCUGGGAGACGACGUGACUUCCGUUUGGGAUAGGUAGAUGGGAAGAAAAGGAGUACAGACUGCGCGUAACAGUCUUACUGAAUUUGUAGCUUGCUGGUGGAUCAUUUGGAAGAUCAGGAACGAUAUGAUUUUUAGAAAGAUCCAGCCGGACUCAGUUUUAGCAGCC